rnacentral:rRNA from 1 species
UACGAAGGGUGCUAGCGUUGUUCGGAAUCACUGGGCGUAAAGCGCGCGUAGGCGGCGAACCAAGUCAGAGGUGAAAUCCCAGAGCUUAACUCUGGAACUGCCUUUGAAACUGGUUUGCUAGAGUACUGGAGGGGGAGUGGGGAAUUCCUAAUGUAGAGGUGAAAUUCGUAGAUAUUAGGAGGAACACCGGUGGCGAAGGCGCCACUCUGGACAGUAACUGACGCUGAGGCGCGAAAGCGUGGGGAUCAAACAGG